rnacentral:rRNA from 1 species
UACGUAGGGGGCAAGCGUUGUCCGGAAUCAUUGGGCGUAAAGCGCGUGUAGGCGGGCUAGCAAGUGGUGUAUGAAAGCUCCCGGCUCAACCGGGAAGGGUUAUGCCAGACUGCUAGUCUUGAGUGCGAGAGAGGAGCGUGGAAUUCCGGGUGUAGUGGUGAAAUGCGUAGAGAUCCGGAGGAACCCCAGAGGCGAAGGCGGCGCUCUGGCUCGCAACUGACGCGUCA